CUGGAAUGAAGACAGUGACCCGUAACUCCCACCUGAAGAGCAGGUGCUUGGAAAAUGCUGCCAGUCCGCAGGAAAAAGUUGUUACUGCUGCUGUCUGUGACCAAGAGGACACUUUAUUUCUUGAAACAACUGGGGGCAAACUGGCUCCCAGAUAAGGCUUCAGUCCCUACUCAUGUGAGGAAACCAGCCCUGGUCCACUGCACCUGUCACACCACAAACAAUGAUAAAA
rnacentral:lncRNA from 1 species